AGGACGAACGCUGGCGGCGUGCUUAACACAUGCAAGUCGAACGAGGCCCUACCUUCGGGUAGGUGACCUAGUGGCGAACGGGUGAGUAACACGUGGGCAACCUACCCUCAGCUCUGGGAUAACCCCGGGAAACCGGAGCUAAAUACCGGAUAUGACCUUGAACGACAUCGUUCUUGGUGGAAAGUUUUUUCGGCUGAGGAUGGGCCCGCGGCCUAUCAGCUUGUUGGCGGGGUAAUGGCCCACCAAGGCGACGACGGGUAG
rnacentral:rRNA from 1 species